rnacentral:rRNA from 1 species
GACGAACGCUGGCGGCGUGCUUAACACAUGCAAGUCGAACGGAAAGGCCCUGCUUUUGUGGGGUGCUCGAGUGGCGAACGGGUGAGUAACACGUGAGUAACCUGCCCUUGACUUUGGGAUAACUUCAGGAAACUGGGGCUAAUACCGGAUAGGAGCUCCUGCUGCAUGGUGGGGGUUGGAAAGUUUCGGCGGUUGGGGAUGGACUCGCGGCUUAUCAGCUUGUUGGUGGGGUAGUGGCUUACCAAGGCUUUGACGGGUAGCCGGCCUGAGAGGGUGACCGGCGACAUUGGGACUGAGAUACGGCCCAGACUCCUGCGGGAGGCAGCAGUGGGGAAUAUUGCACAAUGGGCGGAAGCCUGAUGCAGCAACGCCGCGUGCGGGAUGACGGCCUUCGGGUUGUAAACCGCUUUCGCCUGUGACGAAGCGUGAGUGACGGUAAUGGGUAAAGAAGCACCGGCUAACUACGUG